rnacentral:rRNA from 1 species
GGGGAUUAGUGGCGAACGGGUGAGUAACACGUGAGUAACCUGCCCUUGACUCUGGGAUACGCCUGGGAAACUGGGUCUAAUACCGGAUAUGACCUUCCAUCGCAUGGUGGUUGGUGGAAAGCUUUUGUGGUUUUGGAUGGACUCGCGGCCUAUCAGCUUGUUGGUGAGGUAAUGGCUUACCAAGGCGACGACGGGUAGCCGGCCUGAGAGGGUGACCGGCCACACUGGGACUGAGACACGGCCCAGACUCCUACGGGAGGCAGCAGUGGGGAAUAUUGCACAAUGGGCGCAAGCCUGAUGCAGCGACGCCGCGUGAGGGAUGACGGCCUUCGGGUUGUAAACCUCUUUCAGUAGGGAAGAAGCGAAAGUGACGGUACCUGCAGAAGAAGCGCCGGCUAACUACGUGCCAGCAGCCGCGGUAAUACGUAGGGCGCAAGCGUUAUCCGGAAUUAUUGGGCGUAAAGAGCUCGUAGGCGGUUUGUCGCGUCUGCCGUGAAAGUCCGGGGCUCAACUCCGGAUCUGCGGUGGGUACGGGCAGACUAGAGUGAUGUAGGGGAGACUGGAAUUCCUGGUGUAGCGGUGAAAUGCGCAGAUAUCAGGAGGAACACCGAUGGCGAAGGCAGGUCUCUGGGCAUUAACUGACGCUGAGGAGCGAAAGCAUGGGGAGCGAACAGGAUUAGAUACCCUGGUAGUCCAUGCCGUAAACGUUGGGCACUAGGUGUGGGGGACAUUCCACGUUUUCCGCGCCGUAGCUAACGCAUUAAGUGCCCCGCC